GGGAUGGUAGCGGUCUCUCUCUCUCUCUCUCUCUCUCUCUCUCUCUCUCUCUUGUUCGCAUACGCUCGCGCGUGGGGAGAGGUGGUGGCGCCGCUGCUGCGAUGACGACUGCCCGCGGUCGGAGCACAUAUGUUACCUCUCUCCUCCACGAGGAAGAAGAAGGUUGUGCAAUGACGUACACGCGGGCUCCCCCAAACCAUCCUUGCUGCAUCUGUCUUGUUUUUUCUUGGAUCGCUUUGAAGCUCGCUUUUUGUUGAGAUGUUCUGUUUUGUUUCUUGAUUGACUUAAUUGUUUUGGUUGUUAGGUAGUCAAAUAUGACUUCGGUUAAAUUUGAUUUUUCUCUAGAUUGUCAGUUGUAUAUUCUAUGAGAUCUUUUUCUGAUAUGUCCGGAUUUGUUCUGCUACCUUUAGUUUUGUUCAAAUUCUCGGUUUCUGAGAUAAUGGUUGAAACAAUUGAAUGGGGCAUAAAUACCAAAAUUUCUUGUUAUCUGUUUAGAGGACUUGAGUAGGCUUGGAUUGUUUCGUUGCCUGAGAUGGGAGGUUGUUAUAGGCCUUUAGCUUUUCUAUGUUAUGAGGCAAAGAUAGAUUUUUUAUUGUUUUAUACUAACGUCUUCAUUGAGUACUGGUUGAUUUAAGGAGGCUAUACAAGAGAACUUGUAAGCUGGUUCAGCCGAAAUGGGCUUUGAGAUCUGAGGUAAAAUGGACAGACGUGGCAGGUUUACAAUUGGAAUCAGUCCAUAUGAAGUACAAAAUUCUUUUCAGUACUCUAAGAUGAUUUCCGGUUGCAUGUGUUGCUUCUAUGUAUUGGAUUAAAUUUUUGGAAAAACCGUAUUAUGAAUAACAUUAUUUCAUGUGGUAAAGCCUCUCAACAAAAUGAUGUCUUCCAUUUUUAUGAUUA